UGUGUAGGCGGUGCUCUAAGUCUGGUGUGAAAUCUCCCGGCUCAACUGGGAGGGUGCGCCGGAAACCAGAGUGCUAGAGGGUGGGAGAGGUAAGCGGAAUUCCUGGUGUAGCGGUGAAAUGCGUAGAUAUCAGGAGGAACACCUGUGGUGUAGACAGCUUACUGGACCACUUCUGACGCUGAGACACGAAAGCGUGGGUAGCAAACAGGAUUAGAUACCCUGGUAGUCCACGCCCUAAACGAUGCAUACUUGGUGUGAGCCAUUCAUUUGGUUCGUGCCGGAGCUAACGCGUUAAGUAUGCCGCCUGGGGAGUACGGUCGCAAGGCUGAA
rnacentral:rRNA from 1 species